rnacentral:rRNA from 1 species
GUACGUGAAACCGUUCAGGGGUAAACGGGAGAAAUCCUGAAUUCGAAGGGGAUUGGAUUCAACGUCAGGCCGGCUGGACAAGGCCACCUUGCCCCGCCAGAUGUCGUCGGCCGCCCGCUCUGCGAUUAACUUCGCUUGCGGUGUCGGUCCCGGCGGUCACUCGGCGGGGUGGUGUUUUGCACUGGCAGCGGCGGCGCGCACUUCUUCCCUUGUAGAAACGUCGCGACCCGUUGGGUGCCGGUCUCAAGGCCCUGGGAUGGCAGACCGCGUCGUCCUGCGCAGCGAUGCGCAGGCGCGCGGACUCUCGGUGACCCGGCCGGCUGCCCGACGGUAUGACCAGAGGAGUCGAUCCGCUAUUUGUGAAAACAUGGGAAAAACACUGUGGUUGUGUAGCGUCCGGCCCGGCGCCGGCGCGCGCGUGGACUCGGGUGUCCGUGCAGAAGCACGGCCCCGUUCCCGUCGCGUCGUUCGGCGUCCGGUGUCCUCGGACAGGAUCAGUACUCCCGUCGGCGACGCCCACCUUCGGAUGG